GACGAACGCUGGCGGCGUGCUUAACACAUGCAAGUCGAGCGGUAAGGCCCUUUCGGGGGUACACGAGCGGCGAACGGGUGAGUAACACGUGGGUGACCUGCCCCCUACUCUGGGAUAAGCCUGGGAAACUGGGUCUAAUACCGGAUAUGACCUCAUAUCGCAUGGUGUGUGGUGGAAAGUGGUGUUUUCGGACACUGUCGGUGGGGGAUGGGCCCGCGGCCUAUCAGCUUGUUGGUGGGGUGAUGGCCUACCAAGGCGACGACGGGUAGCCGGCCUGAGAGGGCGACCGGCCACACUGGGACUGAGACACGGCCCAGACUCCUACGGGAGGCAGCAGUGGGGAAUAUUGCGCAAUGGGCGGAAGCCUGACGCAGCGACGCCGCGUGGGGGAUGACGGCCUUCGGGUUGUAAACCUCUUUCGCCAGGGACGAAGGGUGACUGACGGUACCUGGAGAAGAAGCACCGGCCAACUACGUGCCAGCCGCCGCCGUAAAAC
rnacentral:rRNA from 1 species